AACGCACAUUGCGCCUGCCAGUACUCUGGCAGGCAUGCCUGUCCGAGCGUCAUUUCAACCCCCAGGCCUCAGUCGCCUGUUGUUGGGGCCUCCGGGAGCCAUCCCGGAGCCCUGAAAGACAGUGGCGGGCUCGCCAGGUCACCGAGCGCAGUAAUACUCUCGCUUAGGGGCCCUGGCGGGUGCUAGCCGUGAAAACAAACCCUUCUAAUCAAUGGUUUGACCUCGGAUCAGGUAGGAAUACCCGCUGAACUUAA
rnacentral:misc_RNA from 1 species